rnacentral:rRNA from 1 species
UACGGGGGGGGGCAAGCGUUGUUCGGAAUUACUGGGCGUAAAGGGCGUGUAGGCGGCCAACUAAGUCCGACGUGAAAUCCCCCAGGCUUAACCUGGGAACUGCGUCGGAUACGUGGAUGGCUUGAAUCCGGGAGAGGGAUGCGGAAUUCCAGGUGUAGCGGUGAAAUGCGUAGAUAUCAGGAGGAACACCGGUGGCGAAGGCGGCACUCUGGGCCGAUACUGACGCUGAGGCGCGAAAGCGUGGGGAGCGAACGG